CACGCCGCGCUUUGGGGCUCCCCCCUCCUCUCCCGCCGCACUCCCGGCUCCGCCAGCGCUCCGAGCCCGCCAUCCCGCCGUUUUUCCGGCUCGCGGAUGCUUCCAAAGGGAUUCUCUUCCUCGUGGACAUCAUUCCCUGGCACCCGUCCUUCCCUGGUGGGAUUCCCUUCCUAGCGGGCAUCAUUCCUGGUGGGCAUCUUUCCUGGACCGUUCCCGCUGCCCCGCGCUCACCGACACGCCGCCCAGGAACGGGAUCUCUCCGAUGACGAACACCGAGGUGUAGAGGCUGGUGAGCGUGGUCAGGACGAUCCCGAAGCCGAUGUGCAGGAAUCCCGUCAUGAUCUGGAUGGUCUGCGGGGACCGGGAUGGACGGGAAUGAGGUCAACUCACCACCGCCCCCCUUCCUCCAGUGCCGCGCCGGCCGCGGGGGCGCCUUGAUCCCACAGCGUCCCCCGAGGGAUCGGCGGGAGGGUGGGAAUCCCCCGGGAACGGGGUGAGGGGGGGUUUUCCAGGGGUUCCCCGUCCCGAGCCCCCCCACCCCGUGCUCCCCCAAAUCUCACCCCCAUGACGCGGUUCUUGCCCUUGGAGAGGGUCUCCGCCGUGUACAUGACGGCGCGGUUGCCCAGCCGGAGGCUCCCCAUGCCCUGCAUGGAGAGAUCGGGGGGCGCCGGGACC